AUUGAACGCUGGCGGCAGGCCUAACACAUGCAAGUCGAACGAGUGGCGGACGGGUGAGUAAUAUCUGGGACACUGCCAGAUGGAGGGGGAUAACUACUGGUAAAGGUAGCUAAUACCGCAUAACAUCGGAUGUGCACAGAUGGGAGUAGCUAGUAGGUGGGGUAAGGGCUCACCUAGGCGACGAUCCCUAGCUGGUGUGAGAGCAUGACCACACACACUGGACCGUGCACCGGGUCCAUACUCCUACGGGAGGCAGCAGGUGGGAACAUGGCGCAAUGGGAGCAAGCCUUGGACCAGCAGGCCACGUGUAUGAAGAAGGCCUUCCGGUUGUAAGGUACUUUAGGCGGGGAGGCGUUACCCGCAGAAGAAGCACCGGCUAACUCCGUGCCAGCAGCCGCGGUAAUUC
rnacentral:rRNA from 1 species